GGCUACACACGUGCUACAAUGGGUAGUACAGAGAGUCGCAAAGCCGCGAGGUGGAGCUAAUCUCAGAAAACUAUUCUUAGUUCGGAUUGUACUCUGCAACUCGAGUACAUGAAGUUGGAAUCGCUAGUAAUCGGCGAAUCAGCAAUGUCGCGGUGAAUACGUUCUCGGGUCUUGUACACACCGCCCGUCACACCACGAGAGUUGGUUGCACCUGAAGUAGCAGGCCUAACCGUAAGGAGGGAUGCUCCGAGGGUGUGAUUAGCGAUUGGGGUGAAGUCGUAACAAGGUAUCCGUACGGGAACGU
rnacentral:rRNA from 1 species